ACGCUGGCGGCAGGCUUAACACAUGCAAGUCGAACGCCCGAGCAAUCGGGAGUGGCAGACGGGUGAGUAACACGUGGGAACAUACCCUUUGGUUCGGAACAACGCCGGGAAACUGGCGCUAAUACCGGAUACGCCCCUUGGGGGAAAGGCUUGCCGCCGAAGGAGUGGCCCGCGUUCGAUUAGCUAGAUGGCGGGGUAACGGCCCACCAUGGCGACGAUCGAUAGCUGGUCUGAGAGGAUGGCCAGCCACAUUGGGACUGAGACACGGCCCAAACUCCUACGGGAGGCAGCAGUGGGGAAUAUUGGACAAUGGGCGCAAGCCUGAUCCAGCCAUGCCGCGUGAGUGAUGAAGGCCUUAGGGUUGUAAAGCUCUUUCGCACGCGACGAUAAUGACGGUAGCGUGAGAAGAAGCCCCGGCUAACUUCGUGCCAGCAGCCGCGGUAAUACGAAGGGGGCUAGCGUUGUUCGGAAUCACUGGGCGUAAAGGGUGCGCAGGCGGGUUCAUAAGUCAGGGGUGAAAUCCCGAGGCUCAACCUCGGAACUGCCUUUGAUACUGUGGAUCUUGAGUCCGGAAGAGGUGAGUGGAACUG
rnacentral:rRNA from 1 species